AAAGUCUUUAUCUGGCACAAAUCUGAGAUACAUUCAAAUACAUGACAAUCAGUUAUAUCAUGGCCGCUUUUUUCUAGACAUAUUUAUUGGGGAAAAAAGUCAUGUUUCUUUCCUAGUUAUCUGCUUUGAGAAAUGUUAAACUCUCUGUCUCCAGAUCAACACGGAUCUUUUGAAACUCAUGUUUUGUUUUCUUUCUUCCCUAAAUGUUUUUAUAACUUUGGGGCUUAACUAUAAAUAUAAUUUUAUUUUUCAUCUACUAUUUUCCAAAUAUCUUGUUACUUGUAUUUGCAUAGAAUAAAAAUAAGACCUUUUGGUUUUCAUUAUUGCUUCCA